UACGAAGGGUGUAAGCGUUAUUCGGAAUCAUUGGGCGUAAAGCGCGCGCAGGCGGAUCAACAAGUCAGGUGUGAAAUCUCGAAGCUCAACUUCGAAACUGCGCCUGAAACUGUUAGUCUAGAGUGUCGGAGGGGGUAGGGGAAUUUCACGUGUAGGGGUAAAAUCCGUAGAGAUGUGAAGGAACACCGGGGGCGAAGGCGCCUACCUGGACGACUACUGACGCUGAGGCGCGAAAGCGCGGGGAGCAAACAGG
rnacentral:rRNA from 1 species